rnacentral:rRNA from 1 species
GACGAACGCUGGCGGCGUGCUUAACACAUGCAAGUCGAACGAUGAAGCUGGAGCUUGCUCCGGUGGAUUAGUGGCGAACGGGUGAGUAACACGUGAGCAAUCUGCCCUUGACUCUGGGAUAACUGCGGGAAACUGUAGCUAAUACCGGAUACUUUCACUGGAAGGCAUCUUCUGGUGAAGAAAGAAUUUCGGUCAAGGAUGAGCUCGCGGCCUAUCAGCUUGUUGGUGAGGUAACGGCUCACCAAGGCGACGACGGGUAGCCGGCCUGAGAGGGGAACCGGCCACACUGGGAGUGAGACACGGCCCAGACUCCUACGGGAGGCAGCAGUGGGGAAUAUUGCACAAUGCGCGCAAGCCUGAUGCAGCAACGCCGCGUGAGGGAUGAAGGCCUUCGGGUUGUAAACCUCUUUUAGCAGGGAAGAAGCGAAAGUGACGGUACCUGCAGAAAAAGCACCGGCUAACUACGUGCCAGCAGCCGCAGUAA